AUUGAACGCUGGCGGCAGGCCUAACACAUGCAAGUCGAGCGAGCGGCGGACGGGUGAGUAAUGUAUGGGGAUCUGCCCGAUGGAGGGGGAUAACUACUGGAAACGGUAGCUAAUCCCGCAUACUAUCAGAUGAGCCCAUAUGGGAUUAGCUCGUAGGUGGGGUAACGGCUCACCUAGGCGACGAUCUCUAGCGGGUCUGAGAGGAUGAUCAGCCACACUGGAACUGAGACACGGCCCAGACUCCUACGGGAGGCAGCAGUGGGGAAUAUUGCACAAUGGGCGCAAGCCUGAUGCAGCCAUGCCGCGUGUAUGAAGAAGGCCUUCGGGUUGUAAAGUACUUUCAGCCGGGAGGCGUUACCGACAGAAGAAGCACCGGCUAACUCCGUGCCAGCAGCCGCGGUAAUUC
rnacentral:rRNA from 1 species